UAGGGAAUCUUGCGCAAUGGACGAAAGUCUGACGCAGCAACGCCGCGUGUAGGAUGAAGCCUCUAGGGGUGUAAACUACUGUCAGCAGGGAAGAAAUUGACUGUACCUGCAGAGGAAGCACCGGCUAACUCCGUGCCAGCAGCCGCGGUAAGACGGAGGGUGCAAGCGUUGUCCGGAAUUAUUGGGCGUAAAGAGUUCGUAGGCGGUUAUUUAAGUCUGAUGUUAAAGCCCGAAGCUUAACUUCGGCAUGGCAUUGGAAACUGGAUGACUAGAGUGCGGUAGAGGUAUCGGGAAUUCCAGGUGUAGCGGUGAAAUGCGUAGAUAUCAAGAGGAACACCUGAGGUGAAGACGGGUUGCUGGGCUGACACUGACGCUGAGGCGCGAAAGCGUGGGGAUCAAACAGGAUUAGAUACCCGUGUAGUCCCUGAGCGGGCUGGCAAGGCGCAU
rnacentral:rRNA from 1 species